UCCAAAAGAGAAAGAAAAGAUCAUCUCAAGCAGAAAUGAAAGGAUAUGGAGAUUACAUGCUCAUAUGGAAGGCCAAGGAAAGUCAAGCAGGAAAAAGCAAGAGGGUAAACACAAGACAAGGAGUCACCAAGCACUACUGUUCCACUAUCAUCACUGCAGUCUGGCUCUCUGCAGGAUGAACUGUCCUGGGAUUGUUUCUGCUCAUAAGAACAUCUUUGAAUUUGAUCAGCAAGAUAUAACUAUGCUUCAUAUUAAAACUGCCUUGAGUGACCACAUUUAUCAUCAACAGAAAUUAAAUAGAAAUGACCUGAAGGGAAAAAGCUCUUACGUGAGUGAAUACAAUAUUGGUAACUGAAACUGUGGGAGUGGGGAGGCAUCUUGAUUAUUUUUUCCCAUAGGUAUUUUACAUGCAGCUUUAAUCAUCAGCAAUAAAAUGAAGUAGACUUUGAUAGUAGAGAUAAUU
rnacentral:lncRNA from 1 species